UGUGAAAGCGAGGGGACGCCGCCGCUCCCCCCCAAGACCACCCUUUCAACUCCCUCUGCUUGACACCAUGGAAGUGACUUAGUACUGAGGGAAAAGGGGGGAGAAAAAAACAGUUCAAAAAAACGAUAACGAAAACAACAGUCAACGAAAAAGCGAGACGGAGAAGAAGGAACGUUUUUUUUUUUUUUUUUUUUUUUUUUUUUUUGUAAGGAAAAGAGGAAAAAAUAUAUAUAAAAGGAAAGACGCGCCCCCCCCCCCUCACGUCCGAAAAAAAAAGUAGAGAAUAUAUAGACAUUAUUUUUUCAAAGUUUUUAUUUUAAAUUCUUUUUAGAAAAAAAAAAGAAUUUUCAUUUGUGUGCGUUGUUUGUUUGUUGCCAUUUGGAAACAAAGAGUGAAUUUAAAGAGAAAAUAAAUAUUUUACAAAAAAAAAAAAAAAAAAAUUGAGUGUGUUGUGUUGUUGUUUGCGUGCGUGCGUGCGUGCGUGCGUGCGUGCGAGCGAGCGCGUGCGAAGUCACUGUGUUCGAAAAAUCAUUGUGCUUUCGAACUCCCGGAACCGACCCCCCACAUUCAAAAAAAGAAAAGGAAGAAGGAAAAGAGAGAGAAAAAAUACGCCGGGAAUAUGGAAAGAGAAUUGAGAGACUAGGAAGAGAAAACAGGAGAUACAGAAAACAAGAAGAGUGUGAUAUACCGAGAAAAGAGAGGAGAGGAGAGAAUCGACAAUAAUCAUCUGUCUCUUUCGCCUUUCUCUCGUCCUCCUCGCUUCCUUUCUCCUCCAUCUUUAUCAUCACCUUCAUAAUCUCCCUCUCCGUAUUUCACAUCUUCCUCUUCCGUUCUUCUCCCCCGCCCCCUACGCUUAGAAAAAAAAAACCUUUAGUAUCUCAUUCAUUUUGCCCUUUUUCACCUGUUUUCUUCUCUCUCUGUCUGUUUGUCUGUUUGCCUCUCUCUCUCUCUCUCUCUCUCUCUCUCUCUCUCUCUCUCUCUCUCUCUCUCACUCCAUUCUUCCUCCCUCUCUCUCUUACUCUCUAUUCUGUCUUUCUCUCUCCCUCUCUCGCUCUCUCUCUCUUUCUCUCGUAUCUUCUCUCUUUCUCUCAUGUUUAUCACAUUUCGAGGAAUCUACGAAUUCAGCCACCAGCGGGACCAAGAAAGUGCGAUAGGAACAGGCGGGAGAGAUAGAAAAAUCGACCUUAUGGACUAAUACCCCCCCUCCCACCCAACCCCCUACCAGACGACUACAUUACCCCCUCCCCCCCAACCCCCUCUCUCCCCCUGGCGCGUAGUGCUUGUGAAAUAACUCGAUAAUAUUUAAGUGAAACUCAUUAUUAUCAUGUGUUUUCUUCUGUUCACUUCUACGUCUGGAAAACAAAGAAAAGAAGACUAAGAGAAAGGUGGAAAGAUAUAUGGAAUAAACGUGAAUACUGUGUCAUAUAUAUGUAAGGAGGCGAAAAAUAUAUAUACAUAUAUAUAUACACACACAGAGACGUUGAAAAACAACAACAACAGCAACAACAACAACAACAUUAACAACAAGACUUACAAUUAAAAAAAAAAGACUCAAAAUAAAGCCCAACAAACAACAAACAACAAACAACGGCUCCACGACCUCUCGUAUUUCAUUUGUUCGUUUGCUGUUUGUCUCCAACGACACUUAAUGACGAACAUAGUUUAUCCAUAUUACUCUGUUCGCAAAACAUACAGUGUGCUUAUCCGGUGAAGCUCAAAUUGCCGCCAACCAUCUACCUUUAAAGCUCAGGAGAUGCACCAUCUGCCCCAAUCACGACACCUGUACAAAAUACUGCAGUGGUGCAGCGUUCUGGUGUAACAAACCUCAAGAAGACUUAGUGAACAAGCCUCAGUCUCUCUCUCUCUCUCCUUUCUUUAUCCUGGAAAAAAAAAUACCGCACCGAGUUCCUUUUCCCUUCGCCGAGACCCCAGGUUACCCCUUGUCCUAAGGUUUUGCUCUUUCCGUUCACCGUUUUUCCCCUCUCCACUUCCCCUCGUCUCUCAGAAUUACGGAAGAGCAUCGUACUCCUGGCAGCCUCCUGUCCACCUCACCUGUACGACCAUCAUCGUACAGCUGGUGUCCUCCGCUCAUCAGUGAGCACCGUUUCAAGCAGGGAUUUUCGUCCUCCUAUCAAAUAAGUACCUUCUGCAGAUUAUCCUCUUUCCUUUCUCUUAGGAGAAAGUGUCGUGUAGUAAGCAUCCACUUCCUCUCUGAAGAAGGCAUCGACCAGCCGGCAUCUUCUUCAGGGCAGAGAAAGCAUCGUACAACGGGCAUCCUCCUACCUCUAGAGAAAGCAUCAUACAGCGGGCAUUCUCUCACCCUCCUCUAGAGAAAGCAUCGUACAACCGACAUCCUCUUCCUCCUAGAGAGAGGGAAAAAUACCUUUCCAAUUGACAAAGCAUCGCACAGAGGAUAUCCAUCCCCCUUCUGGACAAAGGCGUUGUGCAGCAGAAAACCUCUCGUAACCCUUUACUCGCACCCCUCCCCCCCACGCCCCCCCCUCAUCAACCAUCAACCCGAACAACCUCUUGAACAAAGCAUCGUACAGCGGGUAUCCUAUAUCCACUCCCCGGCUGGCGAUCAUCGUACAGCGGGCACCCUCGUCCCUCUGAACAAGUUGUCGAACGUUCUGACAUCGUUUCUCUCUCCCUCAACGUCUCCUCCUCCACGGAUUUACUUCGAGAAUGUACAAAUCUGAUCAACGACACCAGCCGAUGCGGUUUCUAGCUAGAAAGAAGAACAACUUCUCCUCGUGAGCGCCGCGAAAAACCAUCUUGAUGCUCAACUGAAGCACAAAUUUUAGUACUCAAAGUAGGUUAGAAUUGCAGCCGCCAUUUUCACUCUAUGUUUAUCCUGUACCUGAAUGGGAAAUAAAUGAAUAAAUGAAUAUUUAUAACAAAAUAUAAUAAUGCUAAUAAUAAACAAUCGGUGCUUGAAAUAACUUGAUUGAUAAGAUAAAAACAAAAACUAGAAGCAAGUGAAGGGAUAAAGAUUUUUUUUGGAAAGCUUGAAUAAAGAGAAAACGAAAGAAGGAAUAAGAAAAGAAAGAAGAAGAAGAAGAAAAUAAG